CACGGGGGGAGCAAGCGUUGUUCGGAAUCACUGGGCGUAAAGGGCGUGUAGGCGGUCAAGUAAGUGGAAUGUGAAAGCCCCCGGCUUACCCGGGGAUCUGCAUCCCAAACUGCUUGGCUUGAGUACGGGAGAGGAUAGGGGAAUUCCUGGUGUAGCGGUGAAAUGCGUAGAUAUCAGGAGGAACACCGGUGGCGAAGGCGCCUAUCUGGCCCGAUACUGACGCUGAGGCGCGAAAGCUAGGGGAGCGAACUGG
rnacentral:rRNA from 1 species